UCGAAAUACAGGUGAACGGCAAUCAUGUGAUUAACACACACACACAUAAAAAGCUUUUUAACAGCGCCCGCCCGGCCUCAGAACCGCCCAGAGAGGAGCCGCCCUGGAUGGACAGAGGGACGGAGGGACGAGCAUCCAGCCGUCUCCGACACCCGCGGCCGCCCGCCCGGUGCCCGCCUGGCCGCCCGGUGCCCGCCUGCCUGGCAUCUCGCGAUCCCGCAGGCUGGGAAAUGAUCUCCACCCAGAGAGAACUUCGGUGAGAACAGAAACCACACGAGAGCCCCGUUACUGUAAAAGGCCCAGGAAUCGCAACAACCGGCGGGAGCUUGGAGUGGAAAAAUUUAGGAUGGAACGUCUCACAAGGACAAAAAAGGUCUCACAAGGGACGAUUAACCAGUUUUCAACCGGCUAUGGAAUUUUCCAGGAAUCUCAGGGCUUGGUCUUUUGCUGCAUUUCCAGCUUUCUACAACGAGCAAAUUUUACGGUUGCUUGAAGUGAAGACCAAGGUGCAGCCAGGGCAUGUUAGAGGCCGUCUCUCUGGGAGAUCUCAGCGCGCGCCGAGGGGCUGGGAGCGGAUUGUCCUGCUGGAGGCGAAGAGCUUGAAUGCGAGGAGUGCACCGGACAAAAACACAGGCAGCUUGCCCCGGGGAGCGGCUGCCUGUGCCAUCCAAGUCCUGUCAGGUGGUUGGGGGUGACCUGCCUCAGCGAUGCUGGAGGACGAUGCCGCUGUCGAAAGCAGCCGCCUGUCACCACGAGAUCUUCUCUCCCCGGCUCUGGCCCAUCACCAUUUUUCUUUUUUUAAAGAUUUAUUUAUUUAUGCAUACAAGAACUGGGGUACAAGCCAGAGGUGUGGGGGGGUGAGAGCUUUCACAGAGACAGAGUGGGGAGCAGAACAGGCAGACUGACUGAAAUCCACUGCUGAGGGGAGCAGCGGGGAGACAGGAGAGGUCUGCUGCGCCACGUGGGUCAGCUCCCUGGCUGGGGAUUGAACUUGUGCCUCAGUGACUGGCCUUCACCAUUUUCCAACAGGCUUGUCCACGCCCCUGGACAUUAAGAGGUCAGGGACCCUCGGCCGGCGGGGUCUGAGCUCCUCCACUCCCCAUCUUCUUGGUCCUAUUUGGGGACGGAACGAGGCAGCCCAGAGCAGCCUGCUCAUGGAGGCUGUUCCUGAGCAAGUGACUCCCCAAGGUCACAUGGCUGCUCAAGAGCUGGGUGACUGAAGCAUCAAUGGGUCAAGGAGCCAGGAUGAGAACCUGGCUCUCCGCGAAUACCCCAUCCCCUCCCCCUAUAGCACGGCAGGUGAGGCCCUGCAGAAUCUGAGCCCACUGAUCUGAUCCGCUUAGCCUCCUCCUCGCUCACCAGCGAAGUGUCCUGGCUCACACAGACGACCCUGAUUUCAUUCUGUGCCUUUGUUUAUGCUGAUCCCUCUGCCUGCAGUGCCCUUUCCUGCUGCCCCGGCCCCCUCUGGUCUGACUUCUACUCACUCUUUAAGAAUCUGCUUUGGCAUCACCUCCUCCUGGAAGCCUCCCUGACUUCCUGGUUGUACAAUGGCUGCGGCUUCUGUUCCUGAGUAAAAAUAACUUUGCCCAAGUCCCACACCUGUCUCUCUGUCCCAAAUCUGGGCGAGUUGGGUUCUACCAGAUCAUAGAUGGGCAGGGUUGGCAGGGACAGGAUGUGCUGGGGCCUGAGAUUGGGUGGGGCCAGGACAGGUCAGUACCCUUGGUCACAAUCGCUACUGCUACCAGCUGUAGGAAAUGGGUAUGGGGGUGAAGCAGAGGAGGUGGAGGUGCUGGGAUCCAAUAGACUAGACUCCCACCCCCCCAAACAGGCUGGCCUGGCAUCUCCACAGUUGGGAGGGCGGCCCCUAGCUGUUAUCAAAGGCCAGUAGGGACCCUUCCCUCCAAUGAUGUUGGGGUGGGGGAGGGGGUCUUCCCUGAGGCUGCUCUCUCUCCCACUGCCACUGACAAGCUGGGCCAUCCGUCAGCCUCAAGCAUAAUGGGGUCAUUAACCCCUGACCCCAGCCCCUUUUUAGCCACUUCCUCUGGAGGGCUGCCCCCCUCUCGCCCCUCAAGGCAAACAGCAGGAAAGUUCUGUUAAGUCUCCCUGUUCAAGGAUGGGUCCAGGAGUGGCUGCCCCUUGACUGAUUUAGGGGUCACAGCUCUACAGGCCCUUCCAAAGCUCCAGGGCUCAGAGUCUCCCGGUUUCAUGCUCUGUGGCUGCCUUGGAGAGGGGGGGAGCCUGAAGGGGCCUCCUGCCCUCUGCCACCCACAGGAGCACCCCUCAAGACAAAGCAGUUGUGUGGGGAGGGACACAGGGAACUCAGAGAUCAGAGGUGCCUCUUCCAUUUACAUAGAACAUUCAAAGGAACAUUCUAGACUAGUCCUGCUUGUGAGAUUAGAUGCAAGAAACAAAUCCAGCAAUGAAUGAAUGAAGAGGAAGCGUGGCAGCACUGGGUCUGCCCCGGCACGCAGGAGUGGCGCACGCUUGGAUGACCCACGCUGUCCUUCACCACCUUAAUAAAUUAAGGGAGGAGAGUCAUAUGAUCACCUGGCACUGGCGCUACAUUUCAACAUCUACUUAUGACAAAAAUGCUUUAGCAAACUUGGGAUAGGAAGGAACUUCCUUAAACUGAUGAAUAUUAUCUGCGAAAACCAGCACAAGUACACUUUUUUUUAGAUUUAUUUAUUUAUGCAUACAAGAGCUGGGGUACAGGCCAGAGAUGUGAGGGGGUGAGAGGAUUCACCAGAGACAGAGUGGGGAACAGAACAGGCAGAUUGACCGAAGUACACUGCUGAGGGGAGCAGCAGGUGAGUCAGGAGAGGUCUGCUGCACCCUGUGGUUUGCUCCCUGGCCAGCCGGGGUUGAACUGGUGCUGCAAGAGGCAGUGAGGCUGUGGAUUGCUUCAUGGUGCCAUGCUUAACAGGCCACCCCCCCAGCAAGUACACUUCUUAAAGGUACAGGGCCACAUCCCUUAAGGUGAGGGAUGGUCCCUGCACCCAUCUGUCACUUCAGCUGCACACCUGAGGCCCCAGCUGGAGCAGGAGGCAUGGAAACGCCAACAGCAACAUGGGAGCACUGGUAAGGAUGUGAGACUGGCAUUAUCUGCCGAUGACGUGAUUGCCCAGAAAUCCCCAACUAAUUUGUAGGCACAUGAUUAAAAUGAUGGAAGAUAUUUAGCAGAAAUAUGGUAUCAAAAAGAAGUGGCAGGGCCUCCCUGGUGGCGCAAGGGGUUAAGCACAGCACUGUGAAGCUAUCCGCAACCUCUGGAGCACCUGCUCCAUUCCCAGCCAGCAGGGAGCUACUCACGUGGCGCAGCAGGCCUCUCCUGUCUCACCCCUGCUCCCCUCAGCAAUGAAUUUCAGUCAAUCUGCCUGUUCUGCUCCCCACUGUCUCUGGUGAAUCCUCUCACUGCCUAUCCCCUGUACCCCAGUUCUUCUAUGCAUAAAUAAAUCUUAAAAAAAAGCUUAACCCCCCCCAAAACGAGGGUCUCCCUGGGGCACAAGGGGUUAAGCACCACACUAUGAAGCAAUCUGCAGCCUCUGCAGCACAAGUUUGAGUCCCAGCCGGCCAGGGAGCUACCCACAUGAUGCGGCAGACCUCACCUGGCUCGCCUGCUUCUCCCCUCAGCAGUGUACUUCAGUCAGUCUGCCUGUUCUGUUCCCCAUUCUGUCUCUGGUGAAUCCUCUCACCCCCCCGCAUAUCUGGCCUGUACCCCAGCUCUUGUAUGCAUAAAUAAAUAAAUCUUUUAAAAAAAACGAGUGGCAAUUACAACGUGUGGCUGAAUCUUGGAAGCACCAGGAUGGGUGAAAAAUGCCAAACACGACACGUGAUAUGGGUCCCUUAGAGGGACUGUGCAGGAGACAGAUCUGUGGAGACAGACAGCAGGUGAGCAGGGAUGGAGACGGGGGUAGGGGUGGGUGAGGAGUGACUGCCAAUGGGUAAAGGUUUCUUUUUGGUGUGAUGAGCAUGUUCUGGGAUUAGAUGGUCAUGAUGGUGCUACAACCUUGUGAAUAUCUUAAAAACCACUGAAUAGUUCACUUUAAAAUGUGAAUUUCGGGCCUCCCCGGUGGCGCAGCGGUUGAGCGCUGGGUUGCGAAGCUGCCCGCAGCCUCUGCAGCGCCGGUUCGAUUCCCAGCUGCUCCCCGGCCACCGGAGGAGGGUCCCACAUGGCGCGCAGACCUCUCCUGCUGCCCGCUGCUCCCCUCAGCAGUGUACCUCGGUCCUUCUGCCUGCUCUGCUCCCCGCUCUGGCUCUGGUGA